CCACAAUCCUUUCCCCUGGAGUGUGCCAGCCACCACCAACCUGACUUCCAAAAUCAGUCUUUCAGCAAUGAUGGAACACAAUAUUCUAAGAAGAUUUAAAUCUGCUCAAGUAUUGAGUUUCUUUCUUUGGCAUUUUAUUCUAUGAAACUUUCUAUCUCUUUACUCGAAAUCAAACAGCACAAUUUUAUGGAGCGACUGGCCUGUGGAAGACCUCACAGAGGAAUAGUUUGUGAACCAAGGCAAUAGAGCCCUGCUUGCCAUGACACAUUUGGAAUCCAGCCAACAGCCUCUAAGGAAACUCCAAAAGCCCCAUGGAGAAGAUAUAUAAGUAUUGUGAUGGACAGGUGAGGUCCAGCCAUCAGACAAGGCCAGCUGUCAGACAUGCAAGAGCAGUGAGUUUUCAGGGCUUAGCAUUUUUUCAUGUUUCCGGCUAUCUGAACCACACUGAAAGAACUGAGAUCAAGAGAAGUUUGUUCCCAAGUGGAUCAGGGUGUGACCAGGGAGCAUCAUAGCCCUGGGGGCAAUGGGUUGAUGGCACCAGAGUUUCUAAGGGGAAAACUGAAGUACAAUUUUCCC
ensembl:lncRNA